GAACGCUGGCGGCGUGCUACUACAUGCAUAAGUCGAACGCUUUUCUUUCAUCGAGACUUGUCUCACCGAAAGAAAAGAGUGGCGGACGGGUGAGUAACACGUGGGUAACCUGCCCUCAAGCGGGGGAUAACACUUGGAAACAGGUGCUAAUACCGCAUAACAAUCAGAAUCGCAUGAUUUUGAUUUAAAAGGCGCUUUUGCGUCACUUGAGGAUGGACCCGCGGUGCAUUAGCUAGUUGGUGAGGUAACGGCUUACCAAGGCCACGAUGCAUAGCCGACCUGAGAGGGUGAUCGGCCACACUGGGACUGAGACACGGCCCAGACUCCUACGGGAGGCAGCAGUAGGGAAUCUUCGGCAAUGGACGAAAGUCUGACCGAGCAACGCCGCGUGAGUGAAGAAGGUUUUCGGAUCGUAAAACUCUGUUGUUAGAGAAGAACAAGGGUGAGAGUAGAAUGUUCACCCCUUGACGGUAUCUAACCAGAAAGCCACGGCUAACUACGUGCCAGCAGCCGCGGUAAUACGUAGGUGGCAAGCGUUGUCCGGAUUUAUUGGGCGUAAAGCGAGUGCAAGGCG
rnacentral:rRNA from 1 species